rnacentral:tRNA from 1 species
ACAUCGGUGGUUCAGUGGUAGAAUGCUCGCCUGCAACGCGGGAGGCCCGGGUACAAUUCCAGGCCGGUACA